rnacentral:rRNA from 1 species
UACGUAGGGUGCGAGCGUUAAUCGGAAUUACUGGGCGUAAAGCGAGCGCAGACGGUUGAUUAAGCCAGAUGUGAAAUCCCCGAGCUUAACUUGGGACGUGCAUUUGGAACUGGUCAGCUAGAGUGUGUCAGAGGGAGGUAGAAUUCCACGUGUAGCAGUGAAAUGCGUAGAGAUGUGGAGGAAUACCGAUGGCGAAGGCAGCCUCCUGGGAUAACACUGACGUUCAUGCUCGAAAGCGUGGGUAGCAAAC